AGUUUUAAACGUUUCUACCGAUUGUUUGGUUCAAGAAAGGUGAUAACUCGUGCUCGAAGCGUGAUAGCAAAGGAAAGGCAGUAGUUGAAAUCAAAACGGUCGAGAUGGCUCAACGGUUUUAUGCCCCGAUGCGUAAUCGCUACUCCAGCGAAAGGGACCACCCAGUUGAGCGCUACCGAGAUUUCGAGUGGGACGGGAAGCUCUUCCUCAUGUCCUACGUCACCGAGUUUUACAAUAAAUGGAUGAACGCAUACGCGUACGGGGGAGCUACCCAUCACGAAGGGAUCCAAAAGCUCAUCCACACUUUACCAUCUCCUUGGGAUGAGUGGACCGCUCAGACAUCUCCUUGGGAUGAGAAGAGAUGAGAGAGUAGGUUAUUUCCAAAAUUGGAAAGUGGUAAUCUUGAUUGGGACAAACAAAAAAGGAAAGGUCGUCAUCUUGAAUGGGACGAGGGAGUAAGUAGUUAUCAAGAACUUGGACAAUGUAUAAAGGUUGGAAUUUUCUAUUGACUGUUCUACGUUAAAUUAAGAUGAUACGAUUAAGUUUAAAUUCCAAAUGUAUAAUCUACUAA